rnacentral:lncRNA from 1 species
UGAUGUUGGUGUCGAUGCAAGCCAAAGGCCAAGAAGGGUUUCUCAUGAUGAUGAAAUGUUGAAGAAUUGAAGCAAAAUCCAGCCUUAAUUCUCUUGCAUGUGUAGAGAUUCUACAUCAAAAAGCUAUAUGAAACAUGUGGAACGUGUCAAGGAGAGCUCAAGCAUAGGAGGAUAACGGGUCAAGAUAAGGCAAGGUGACAAAUACACUUAUUGGAGUACUCAAGGUUAUGAAUGUCGGACUUUCGAAGUGUUGAUAUAAUAAUGAAACGGUUGAAUGUUGAAAGGAUAAUCGGAUUGAAGUAACUUAUGCGGUUAGAAUAUGCUAUGGACGUUUUAGUUUAUACAACAUUUUAUGUUUGGUCAUCAUCAUCUACCAACGGGUAAAUCCUCAAUUUAGGCGACUUGGAGAAUCGGAGCGAGCGCGUGUUCAUGUUAUGUCAUACUAAACGCUUCCGCUAGCCUGUUCAAAUGUUUUUAGUCCAAAAUUUGUUGUUUUGGUUCUUAGUAGUAUUUUGUCGAAUGAAUCGUAGAAUUGUAUCUAGUUUGUUUAUGUUUAAAACAGGGGUAUGCUCGUUUUAUGGACGGGUCAUGUCCGAUUUUUGUUAAAUUAUAGUAUGAUAAUAUCACAUUUAGGAAGAUGAAAUUUUGG